GACGUAGGGCGCAAGCGUUGUCCGGAUUUAUUGGGCGUAAAGAGCUCGUAGGCGGCCUGUCGCGUCGACCGUGAAAAACCCCGCAGCUCAACUGCGGGCUUGCGGUCGAUACGGGCAGGCUCGAGUUCGGUAGGGGGAGACUGGAAUUCCCAGUGUAGAGGUGAAAAUUCGUAGAUAUUGGGAAGAACACCGGUGGCGAAGGCGGCGUCUGGACCGAGACUGACGCUGAGGCGCGAAAAGCGUGGGGGAGCAAACAGG
rnacentral:rRNA from 1 species